ACGGAAGGCAGCAGUGGGGACUAUUGCACAAUGGGCGCAAGCCUGAUGCAGCGACGCCGCGUGAGCGAAGAAGUAUUUCGGUAUGUAAAGCUCUAUCAGCAGGGAAGAUAAUGACGGUACCUGACUAAGAAGCUCCGGCUAAAUACGUGCCAGCAGCCGCGGUAAUACGUAGGGGCAAGCGUUGUCCGGAAUGACUGGGCGUAAAGGGCGUGUAGGCGGCAUUUUAAGUCUGAAGUGAAAGUCCUGCUUUCAAGGUGGGAAUUGCUUUGGAGACUGGAAGGCUUGAGUGCGGAAGAGGUAAGUGGAAUUCCCAGUGUAGCGGUGAAAUGCGUAGAGAUUGGGAGGAACACCAGUGGCGAAGGCGACUUACUGGGCCGUAACUGACGCUGAGGCGCGAAAGCGUGGGUAGCAAACAGGAUUAGAUACCCUGGUA
rnacentral:rRNA from 1 species